rnacentral:lncRNA from 1 species
GCCGGGUGCGGCGCGGCGCUGCCGCGGGAUGCGGCGGGAGGCGGGAGGCGGCUGAGGCGGGGACGGGCGAUGCUCCGCCGCCGCGGCGGCUCCGCGCACGGCCGGCCGUAGAGCAGCGCACCCAGGGACGGCUCCGCGGCCGCCCGGCCGACGUCCUGCCCCGGCGCGAUGGCCACCGAGGUGCUGUGCGGGCUCACCUUCAGGCUGCUGCUGCCCGUGUGCCUGGCUGCCGCCUGUGCUUUCCGUUACAAUGGACUCUCCUUUGUCUACCUCAUCUACCUACUGCUCAUUCCUUUGUUUUCAGAACCCACAAAAACAACGAUGCAAGGGCAUACAGGACGAUUAUUAAAAUCUCUGUGUUUCACCAGUCUAUCAUUUCUGCUGCUGCACAUCAUCUUUCAGAUUACAAUAAACAGUCUUGAAGCUGGAAGAACUAUUGAACCUGGUUUUAACUGUUCCACAUGGGAGAAGACAUUACGGCAGAUUGGUUUUGAAAGGUAAGCUUUACAUUUGUUUCAUUGACAAUGCAAAAGAAAAGGAAGAAAAGGUACAUGGGCUAGUUUACAGAAUGAUUUAUUUUAGUUGAUCAAUUGUAUCUGUGACCUCAAAGUUAGAGAGGAAGCUAUGCAGUCUCAUACAUAUACAUAUUCAGCUUCUUUUUUUAUGUCCUCUCCUGUUUCCCCAGUCUACAGUCUGAAGCAGCUUAUUCACCAUAUUAACUUGGCUCACUGUGGUUUUUUUUUCUGCUGUUGACUAUGUAGCGUGUUAGUAUUGAAAAAGGUGACUAUUUGGGCAAAAGUCUUACUUAUGAAUGAAAAUAUUGCUCUCACUCAUAUUAUUUUUUCCAUGAAACUUCUUAACUGUGACAUAUUACUUGACAAAAGUAAAUGAAGUUGAAAGAGGACCAAAGCUGGCAGAGAGCUAUUUAGCAUCAGAGGAAAAUUCAGAACUCAGCAUUCCUCAAGUGCAAGAACUUCUUGUAGCCAAACUUAACCACAAGGUCAUCAUACCAGAAACAUAUGUCUCUCUUGGAACUUAACUAGGCCAAACCCAGUAAAGACUAAUCUGGUGUUGAGCCUGAAAUGCUCCAUCUCUUAUUUAUUCCUCUACAAAAGGUAAGCAGAAAAGUCUGCUCCCACUGUGAUAAUGUUUUGCUGUUUUUCCUUAAUGGAGUAGUUUGCAGUACAAGAAGGGAUUUCUCUUCUCGUUGUUGAAAGAGUGCAUACUGUGCAUACUGUCUCGGACAUCUCAGCAAAACAGACAAUUCUAUCUUUUGAAGUCAGUAAAUAGAUAUAUUGACCACAUGAAACAGAAAAUAGCUACUUUCCUGCUUACUUUCUCACAAAGAGAAGGCAAACUGCCUUUUUUCCUGACCUUUUGUUACAAUAAAACGUAUAUUUUUAUUAACAUACUUAAGCGUCAGUCUUGUUUUUGUCUCCUACCUGUAAUUCAGAAUAUCAAAUCUGUAUUCAACUUUAGUACAACAUCAGGGGAAGGACUGUGGUUUGUAAGCAUUUAUGAUUUGAGAUGACACAGUACCCCGUCAAGUAUCAGACAGAAAUCCCUAAACUGUGGCACUGUACUGGAUGUUGUUUAUUUGGAGUGCUUUUAAAAGAAGAAUAAAUUUUAAUAUCAGUGAAUAUUAAAUGCUAUUUGUUACGAGGUUUAAUAUCUUUGAGGGUUUUUUAAUAGAUCGUGCUUUUGUUUCAAGUUACAUUCAAUUCAAUUACUAGAUGAGCAUUUCAUUAGGCAAGUCUUCAUAGCUUUCAGAAGGGUUUAGAGGUAAAAUGUUGAUACUUUCAUUGCCUUGUUCUUCUUCUUCUUCUUUUUUUAAGAUUAAGAAUUAGCAGUUGCUACUGCUGUUAGCCAAGGUGAAAAAAACUGAAGCUUUGAGGAAAGAUAGAAUGAAUGAAUACUUUGGGUCUUAUGUUUGAAACUCCUAAUGGAAAAUGAUCAAUUGAUUUCAGCAGAAUUGAGAAGUAAUUUUAUGUCUGGUAUAUUGGAAAGAAACUUCCAGCCUGUGAGGUGUUUCAAACAACAAGGAGAACCCAUAAUAUCUGUGCAUGCAUAAUGUAGGUACUACAUGAAACAUGGAGAAAUCUUAAUAGACUGCAUUACAGGAGAGAAGCUUGCCUCAAAGGAGGCAAAUAUUUAGAAAAGGUUACUGUGCAGAUUCCAUUAUUUCCAUUCCAGUGUGAAAACAACUUUAAGCUGACAGUUCUGCACCCUGAGAGUCUGACAGCUUGGAAUAAGUUGAACUGAAGCAGCACUUUAGCACAGAUGGAGUGAAGAUUUGAAUGACUUAGGUAGAUAAAAUCAUAGAAGUAAAAGUGUUUCAUCACAGCUUUAUAGUUCUUUAUAGCAGUGUUUGCUUAAUAUCGUAUUAUACAUGAUUGCUUAAGAUCAGUAUUUCCCAUGCUUAAAGGAAUAGUUUCCAAAGUAAAUGACUGGUUAUACCUUACUAUAUGUAAUACUUGGAUGCAGCACACUUCACUUAAGCAGAAAUCUGAGAUCUGCAGAUCUCUCCAAUGUGAGUGAUUAUUUGAGAAUGUAUCAUGACAUGUUUUCCUUAGUUUUAUUCUCUUCUCGAGGCAUCCCUUUAUAGCCAGAGGGAGUCAAGGUAGUAGGCUAGAUCUGUUAGAUCUGAUCCUGUGCAGCUGUUCUCAUACUCUGUGUAACAACACUAAGAAAAGAAGCAGCAGCAGCAACACAUUUUGCUAUUUAAAAACAUAUCCUCUGCUAGCUGUUGACUUAGGCACACCUGAGUCAGCUGUGAAAUAUCCGUAGCAUUUAAAUGUGUUGUUUGAGCAAGGAUAUUGUUAUUCCUGGAGGAAGUGAGGGCUUUAGAUACACAAAAGGAAAGCCACUGAAAGUAAUGUCUUUAGGAGGAAUGUGUCUUGCUUAAAGGAUGGAAAAAUAGUACAAAAUCAGUUCUUCUAAACAAGCUGCUUUCGGGUGCGUUGAUGGGCAGAAAGAGAUGUGGAUGCUUGGUUUACAUUGCAGAAAGCUCAUCCUAUAUAAUGUAUAAGUUAUGUCAUCACUGCUUUGUGGUUAUGCUAUGUUUAUUCCACAGUGGUGAAGUGCUUACAGUGCUGUGGUCUUCAUAUCCUGAAAAACACAGAGACAUCAAGAGACCUGACAGAUAGGCUUUUAUGCAAGCAUUACUUGUGAGCUGAGUAUGCUGCUUUUCAUUGCAAGAGAAAUUAAAAAUGCUGUAGCUCCAGUAAAGUAGCCUUAUAUCCAGGAGAUGACUGGAGUUAAGAGCUUUGCAAUUAAACUGAGUGUACCUGGGCUUGAUAGAUUUAAAUGAAGGUCAUUUAGCUAUUGAUUGUUUCUUUGAGGCAUUACAAAUAAGCUGAUUGUAACAUACUGUAGUAGUCAUUGUAGUCAUCACCUUUGUCCAACGCCAUCUUGACAACAGUUCCUGCAGAAUGUUUUGGAAAAAUUCAGAGAAUUAUGAAACAUGUUACUUUGUACUAUCCUGUCUUCCAAGUAAAAUGCUUCAAAAUACUGAAUGUGUGUCAUACUGGCAUGUCAUACAAAAUGUCACCUCACACUGUGUUUAACAGCUGAAGCUUGCUUGGAUACUGGAGAACCAAAGCAAGCAGGUUUGGGGAUAAAUAGAAUGACUGUGUUUUCUGUUUGUUUGUUUUUGCCACAUUCAUUAUUUGUGCAUGUUUAAAUGACACCCAAAUAUUCAUUAAAAUGUCCAGAAAGCUCCAUUCUGAUUUCUUCCAAAUGUGACUAAAAUUGUGUUUCGAAAGGUAUUGUUCAUCUCGCUAGCUUCUUCAGUCAUAGGCUGGACCCAGUGGAAAUGGCUCCUUCAAACUCCUUUGUGGUUAGUUCUGAGCAAUCAGCAGCAACUGUGCUGUUUCCUGGCUACUCUGACAAUACAGAAGAGAACUUGAUGCACAAAUCCUGUUAACAUGUAGAAGCAGAGAGGCUGAGGCAAACUGUAGGGCUGGCCUUCCAUAGCAUAGCCCAUGCUCUCAGCUCACAGCUGCUCUGGGACUUGAAGCGCAGAGUCUGGAAAGGGCCACAGCCAGUGCUGGGAAAACUGCCACUACUGCACUGCUGAAAGUUAAAAGCAAAAGAAGGUUUUUUUUUUUACUUCAUUUAAAUGUCUCUAAUUUGAGCUACCAGAUGAUGGGGCUUUACAUCCUUGCCUAGUAGAUCAGUAGUGGUUAGAGAGAUGUCUUUUGUUCUUAUGUAUUUGUUGAGCUAGAAACGAUCCGAUCAUUGUGAAACUUUAAACAAACCUCUUAAAACUCACUGUGCCACGGGUCUUACAGAAUUCCAAUUCCCCUCUUACUGCUCUUCUCUUAGGUGUAAUUUCUAGGACAUCUAUGACUACUCAGCUGCUAACAGCCCAACUGUUAUUCCCUGUUCACAUCUGUCCCUAUGCUGUCGCUUGUGUGUAAUGCUUUACAUUAAGGUUCCACAAGACAGGCAGAAAAAUGAUUUAUAGCUGUUAUUACUUACAGAUAGCAACUCUUUUAAAAAAAUAUGUAUUUGAAGACCAACAUCUGUGGUUAUUACACUUUUGUCAAUAUUUGAUAAGUAUGUUUUUCAUAAUGAAUAGCUACUUCAGUGACAGAAAACUUUCAGGCACUCAUUUAGUAAAAUCUAAUUAUCUGCAUUUAAAAACUGAGUUUUCUGUAUUGAUGCAUGGGAUUUGCUUGACCGUUAGCUUCAAACUGGGCCUUAAAUAGUCAUUGUUUUCAUGAAAUGCAAAAAUGUCUUAUUAAUUUUAAAUGAGAUUCUUAGAUAUGCAGGAGUUGACUAGCUUUUUAUGGUUUUAAUGACAUCUGCAGUAUUUGUUCAGAAGCAAUAUUUAUUUAGAAAAUGCAACAUAGCAUUUCCGAUUCUGGUUGAAGUUGUUUUGAGUGUGAUCAACAGUGAAAGCUGCUCCUAUUAGUAUAGUCCUCUGUAUUGUCUUCUGGCCUUAUUAUUCAUGUUUUUUUAAUCCUACUACUAUUUCUGAAGAAGGAAAUUACAGAAUCAUUAAGAUUGAAAAAGACCUCUAAGAUCAUCUAGUCCAACUGUCCACCCACCACCAUUAUUGCCCCCUAAAGCAUGUCCUUAAGUACCACAUCUACUUAUUUCUUGAACGCCUCCUGGGCCGUCAGCUCCACUACCUACCUGUGGGGGCAGCCCAUUCCAGUCCCUGACUGUUCUUUCAGACAAGUUUUUCCUAAUGGUAGGUUGGAACUGGUAGUUUUCACAUCUCAAAAAAAAAAAAAAAAAAAAAAGCCAAGAGACAGCAGAUGUCUGUUCCUAUGUCAUUGCUAGACCCUGAAUAAGAAGACUGUCUUUUGUUGUGUUACAUUCCAGUUAUUCUGUGCAUUUAAGUAGCUUCUUCAACUACUCUUUAAUCACGAAGUGAUAAGGACAGUCUUCUCUGCUUUUGUUGGAAGCAAACUAAACACAACAGCCCCAUAUGCUGCAGGUAAGGAGAUAGAGAAUUCCCAACAGAAGCUAGGAGCAAACUUGCUGUCAUCGCUAAGAGAUACCCUUUUUUUUUUUUUUCUAUAUGGGUUUCUGAAUGUAGACGGAUGUCUGCUUUUGCAGCUGCUCCACAUAUGCCCCUACUUGAUCUAGCUGAAAACACUGUGUAUAUCUUCCCUACCCCUUGCAGAGACUUAGAACUCAAUUUCCUAAACCUCUCGUGAUGUGUGGUGAGCAUGGAAUCCAGACACAUCAGAGACACUUCCCAAGUGUCUCCUUCCAGGUCCAGGUUGCUAAUUAUGAGCCUACUGGCAAUCUGUUUUCCCUCUUUCCCCCAUGCUUUGAUUGCUUGUAACUUGCUGUGAUAUUUGACUGGUGCUUGGGCAGAAUUUCUCUGGGUGACAUGUAAAGAAUAAACAAAGAAGAGAAUACCACUGGAUUCUAUAAAUAUUUAUUAUGCACAAUUCUGGCUUAAAAAUCCAAAUACCAUAUGGUUAUCUAUAGCGGCAUUCCUCACUCUUCCCACACUCUGCAGUGAUUUAGUAAAGAGAAUAAAUAUAUAUUUGAAAUAUGAAGUCUUAUCCUGAUGGCUCGCUUCAUAAUUUUGAGUACUUUCUUCACAGACAGCUGAAUCCUACAGUCCUUUCUUGGGCACUGCUCCCAUUGACAUCAUUUUGGAAAUGUUGCCUCAGCCAGGGGCUGUGAGAGACUGCAGAGCUUGAUCCGUGAGAAGUUAUUUUGAAAGAAACAGUGCAGUCUGAACAUUCACCAUGUUUUGUGAAUAUCAGAUGAUUUGAAUUUGGGAAGACAAGGAAAAAUUGGUACAGUGGUGCAACUUGGGACAGAGCACCUAAGCAAAUACUUAACUCCUCUGUGCUUAGGUGUUUCUCCUGACUUCAGCUCUUGUGUUCUAAAGGCACUAAUUUUCCACCUUUUCUUCAGAGACUAUAAAUAAAAGGGUCUUGUUUUGCUCGUGCUGUGGUUUAUUGCUUAUAGCAGACUUAUCAUAUCUCAGUUUAGUCAUUUUACUGUCUGGCUGUUGUCUAAAUGAUAGGUAGAGUCCUGAGGGUGGAAAAUCAUGUUAGAAAGACUUCAAACUAUGAUGCUUCACUUCAUAAAAAUCACAUAAUGGCUUGGGUUGGAAGGGACUUGGAAGCCUGCUCAAUCCCUUCCCAUGAGCAGGGCUGCCCCCCCCCACCAGCUCAGCUGCCCAGGGCCUCAUCCAACCUGGCCUUGAGUGCUUCCAGAGAUGGGGCACUACAGCUUCUCUGGGCAGCCUGUACCUUCAUUUUUUUCAAGGAGCAAGGGCCAGUGAGUGAGGCUUGCUUCCCAUAUGCACACUGUAGUCUCGAGGCAAAGUGGAGCACAGAAUUCCAGGUCCUGAGAAGGCAGUAGGGGCUGAGGUUGCUUUCCUUGCCCUGUUUUGUUAUUUUGAGGUGGCCAGGAGUGUGGAAUUUGUGCAUGUGUGUCAAAGCAUUGAUGUUGUUUAUAAUGUGAGAAAUGGGGAAGAAAUGUGUUUUCAGUUUCAUCUGAUAGAGAAUGCGUGCCUAAGGUUCUGUACUAAAUUGAGUUUUCUGUACAGCUCUGAUGAAAAGUGAAACUUUUGAAAGAGAAAUUUGAAUUACAGAAAAAGCCAGAAUAAGAAUUGGAUUAUAUUUUCAAAGAACAAAACUGUUGUUUAAAGUUAUGAACAGUUGUGGGUUUUUUGUUGUUCUGUUUUGUAAUACUGUGUCAGCUGAAAUAUUUUGGUAAGUACUGCAUAUUUUAAAUAGAAAAAAAUUGUUUUAGCUUCAUGGAUUUUACUGCAGUGUCCACUUCUCAUUCCAAUAUUGCUGCAAGCAGCAGUGUGUGGUCCAGUGUGCUCAGACAUAAAACUGGUGUGAGUAAAGCUUUUUCCAAUCACCUGCUAACAAACAAUAGCUUGUAUUUAACACACAGUGGUACUGUGUGAACUAACCUAACCCUUUUUCUCCUACUGAGAAGGAAAUAAUUUCAGGAUACCCCCUGCCUCAAACAGUGAGUAUAAAUUGAAACAAGAUCAAGACAAACAAGCCCCCAUUUUAGACUUAUCCCACUUACCACUUGUUUACCACAGGCUUAACAGCUGUGGCCUGUGAAGAAUUUCUGCUUCUAACUCCAGUCCUAGCUUGUAUCUGUAAAGCCUGGGCGUGUUACAUGUUAGUGAGGCGCUCAUCUGCACUAACGCUUUCUGGGUUAGGUGAGCAAGUAUCGCGUUCCCCAGGGCCAAAUGCACUGUCAAGACAACUGUUGAGACACCGUUUAGAAGGUGAUUAAUCUUCUGUUUAUUGCAAGAUACAGUUUACGUUUUGUUGUUUCCUCUAUUUUCAAUCUCUCCAGCACAGUUUUUAAACACCAGCUAACUUUUAAACUUAAGCUGACUUUUGACAAAUGUCAUUUGCAUAGUUGUUUUUUUGUAGUGUGCUAUCUUACCUUUUGCAAAAGAAAUACAUUUCUUUUUAGCAAUCAUGCCACAAAGUACCUUUAAAAUAUUUUUACAGAUGUUCUUGUAGACCUCAUGGUGCUCACCCGUGAGUUGAUAAAGAGAUUCACCAGGUUAGUCUUUUUUGCCAGAGUUUUUCUGGAGAUGGUCUCCAUAUGCCUAAAGCACUUAGACCAGUAAUUACUUCCUCGUUUACUGGCUUUUCUCAAAGCUGUUCUUAUUAAAACAAAAGUAAUAAAACCACCUAUCAUAGAAGAUAUAAACAUUCACUAAAAUAACUUGAUUUGUUUUGAGCAGAUUUAAGAGAUUUUCUAGUUCUUAAUUCCCCAUUUUUCUGUUUAAGCAAUUAUCUUAAUGGUUACAUAAAUAAUCUCUGCCUAAAAUAAUUAUAGCAAUUAUGACUUUUCUCUAGAGUACAUCACUGUAAUAUGCCAAGAAAGGUAUUUCCUCUGCGUUGAUUGCAGCUAUUUUCACACCUUCUUUUUAAACAACACUGAAAGCAGCAGUGUGAAUUCUUGAGGUCUCUGAACACAUAGUCCUUAAGCAACCCUGUAGACUUCAAGGGUAUAUCUCACAAGAGUAAACAUUAGGAAACCAAAGUAUAAACUGAUUCUUAGCAACAUUUAAAAAAAAAAAGUAUCUAGUAGGUUAUUUCAAUAAUUUUAAAUGGUCUAAUGUAUUGAGAAUUUAGAGACUGAAAAUCCAAGAUGGACAUCAUUCCAGGUAGCCGAGAGGAAAAUCAUGUUGUUCAUUAUACAAAUAGAGCACUUUUGUGUGAUCGUUCUCUGUUAAGCCUGUGCAUGGAUAUGCUAAAAGUCAAGAAGUCACUUACUCACAGGAAGCAUGACAGUUUUUCUUCCUCUCCAGCCUCUUGUGCACAUUAAAAAAAAAAAAAAAAUGUGGUAUGCAAACAUCCUGGAGACAGUUCUCUUGCAAAUAAACCAUUGUUUAAUUCUGUGAUAUACCAAUGGUAAAUCUCAGGUUUGACCACGAGUAGAUGAGAAGCACAUCAGCAUUAUUAAUUACAAGAUCCUUUUGUGAAUAGGCCUCCUCGUUUGUCUCUGUCUGCCUGUCUAUCCAUCUGUCCAUUUAUUUCCCACUUACUGAUAGAUCACAUAUUUAAAUCUAUCUCCAGAUCUAGUAGAGGAUAAACGUUAGCAUGUGUUUGCCAAUGGUCUUUCCUUCCCAGUAGAGUCUAUUUCAUAGAUGUUUGCAAUAACAAGACUGGGUGAUUGUAUUCAAAUUUCAACCAGUUCAUGACAUUUGGCAAUAAGGUUGUGAAGAAUUUCUCUUUACCUUUUCUAUAAAGGAAGGGAUGAGUAGGGAGGUGCUCUUGGACUACGGAAACAGUAAAAAUCAAACAAUUUAACAUUUAAAAGCCUCCAGUAUAACAUCUCCCAAGUGCCUGAGUCACUUUGGGAACUGAGUUUGUAACUCAAUAAUCCUUCUGACUCUUUAACGUUUUAUGUAUAAUCUUUGUUAUAAGUGCUAGGGACGUAACGGAAUCAACUCCCUACUUCUAAUUUUCCAAAUGAAAGUAUUAACUAAAUCUACUUCUACUGCAGUAUUUCAGAAUCCAAGGAUCUACUAUUCAUUACUCUUGUUCAUUUUCUUGACAAAAAAAAAUCCACUUUUUUUGAACAUAGUCUUCCCUUAUUCCUAUGCUUCCUAAUGUGUCUGUUCCUAAUAAAUUAACAGUUUUACUAUAUUUAUUGGUCUUAUUGUCAUGCUCACAUAAAAAUUUAAAUAGGAAAUUCUACUGGAGCAAAGUCCAUGUAAAAUGUUUUCUUUUGAGCUGUGCUGUAGCUAAGCAUUGUUGAAACUUUUAUAGUUGUUGUUUUUUCCUAAACCACGCCAUAGAGAGCUGACCUUUGAGUUGUGGCUUUAGAAUCUGAUUGGUCUUUUGGUUCUCUAAGAAAGAGUCAACUUUGAAAUAUGCCCCAUUUGGAAAAGCCCUCCAAACAGAUCUUGAAACAUCUAUUUACCAGCAUGGGUGAAGGUAGUUUCUAUACACUGUAGUAUUUCUCUACCAGUAGAGCAAACAUCUAUUUCAAAGCCGAGCCAAAUACUUCUAUAAAAUUACUUUCCAAUGCAUCCAACCCUGCGGGUAGCUUUCAGAAAACAAGAUUAUUUAAUACCGCAUGAAAAAGUGGGGAUUAAUACGUGCUUAAUCCAUGCUUCCAGUCUUAAAGGUAGAUUACCUGAGUAAUUUGGAUCAAAAUGCAAAUUUAAAUUUUUCACCUUAUGACUAUCUCUUAUUAUACUCCCUUGGUAAUACUGCAUGUUUUAUUAAGAACAGAACUUGGGCAAGUAAGUCUGUUUAGGGAUGGGAAGUACUGAGGUUUUUAGCAUGGUGUUGUAAAUCCAUAAUUUUGGGGUCAAUGAAGAUUUCACUUUCCAGAUGGAACAUCUGUAUUCAUGAUUUCUGAAAACCUAGCCACUUCUUUGUAACUCUGUUUGAAAAAUGUGAAUAUUUUUAUUUUCUAAUAUGCUUUUAUUUUUUCCUGCAUGUAAGAAGGUACACGGUAUUAAGUAAACUCAGAUGAAUGUACUGGAGACGUGUAUAUUUCAGUAUAUUUCUAGUAAGAAAUGAUGUAUAGUCUUUCUUUUCCAUGCUGUAUCAUUUUGUUUUUCUGAGAUAAAGAAUCUUUUUGGUAUUUUUUCCUGCUGUUGCCAGAUUUUAAGUAAUAACUACAAACAAAAGAAUCAGAUGGCAAAAAUAGAAUGGAAUAAAAUGGGAGUAGAAUAGAACAGGAGUAGAAUUAGUUCAGUUGGAAGGGACUUCAGAGAUCAUCUAUUGCAACAGCCCAAGCACUUCAGGGCUAAUCAAAAGUUAAAGCAUAGUAUUAAAGGUAUUAUGCAGAUAUGUCUUGAGUAAAGAUAGCCAUGGGGGCAUCAACCACCUCACUAGAAAUAUUCACAUAUAACUUUGAAGUAAAAGGAUUUUGAAGUGGUUGUUUUUCUCCUGGCUUCUAACCUUUAAGAGUGAAGGUGUCACCUUUCAAACCUUUUCCUUGUAGCCAUGAGGGCUGAAAAUGGAUAUGUGUAUUCUUUGUAAGGGAAAGCUGGUGAAUCUUGCACUUGUCUCAGCAGGAUGAAACUUUAAAAAUAAAUAAAUAGGAUGCUCAGUAAUGUUUAAGCUGUGAAAGACCCUUUUGCAACACUAAUCAUGCAACUGCCUCUCAGUCUUAAUGUGGGAAUGGUUUUAACUUAGUCUGUGAUAUGCUGGACUGAUAUCUUCACUAUGAAAUGAGACAAGAAACUACUAGAUAUCUUAUUCAUUAAACUGCAGGUAAUUGAGAUUCCAGGGUGGAAAUGGCAGUACAGUUUUUAUAUUUGCUCCAUAUUGCUGCAAACCACAGUGUAAUCUAUCUUCUUCUCCAUCUGUCAUCUCCUCUUCCCUCCCCUCCCACUCUUGUUGUAGUGACAUGAAAUUUCUUUCUUCUGUUUCAGCAUGUAAAAGCUACUUUCAUUUCAUUUUAUUUAUUUGCUGUCAUCUUGCAGCUUGAACGUAUGUAUGUUUGCCAUCAGACUGCAUCUCCCUGCUGUGUGAUGACACUGGCAAGCGACUGCACUACCAAAAGAUUCAUUGCUAUAGCAGAUGCAGUUGUGAAUGAACAAUUAAAUUGGCUGUUACUAUUAAAUUGAAAAUUUAAAGUUAGUCAAGAGUCAGUCAGUGGAUAGAGCACCUGAAUGCAAAAAACAAGGAUAGAAAGUCAUGCAGUGAUACAAAAAGCCUGGUAUAAUUCAAAGGCAAAGGAAUGCAUUUUUUGGUUCUGUAAUAGAGUUAUUUCACAUUCAUUCAACAAUUGUCUUCUAGCUGAUAACAUUUGAGUAAAAUAUUGAUAAGCUGUGUAUCUCAAGCAUGUUCAUCGUGAUAUAUUAAUUGCGAGAGUCUCACUGUAUUCCAGUUCUAAAAAAAACAUUCGAUAUGUGGUCAAACUGUCCUCUUUCUUGAGAGCUCUGGAAAUACUGAGAAUGACUUAAAAACUGAGAAAAAUACAGUAGACAUAAAAAGAAGAAAACAUACAAAUGCACAGAAAAUUUUAGUAGGCUUUGUCUGUAUUGAAAGAGAAGGUAGUUAUAAAGAGUUCUGGGAAAAUAGUGAUGUAAUGUGAAAGUAUAGUAGUGUAAAUUAGUGAAUAAUUAAACACACACACACACAAAAGAGGAAAAGAGUGAGAUUUCUUUUUCAGAACAUUUGUGACAUGACUGAAUGUUCCGUGCUGACUCUUCCAAGCAGCCAGUAAAUAUUCUUUUCCAUAUGCACACGAUGAGAAAAAUGGAGCAGAGGUUAACACCCCCAGUUCACUAGGGACUAGUGUGGCCUCUGCACACUGUCAGGAUGCAAAGGAAUAUAUUCCGUUAUUGUGAAAUAUGGAAUUAUGUGAACACUGAGAUGCCAAGAUUUCCCUUCAUGGGCUACCAUCUAGAGGAAAAGACAUGGGAGGAUAGGGUGCAUGGCUUGAUGUUCAUUUCUGCUCCAGUUCAGUGCUGCUACAAAUUAGGCUGCUUUGCCCUCAUAUUCCUUUUCUAAUCUUGACCAAUAAUUUAUAAUUGGUAUCAGCUGAUGAUCUGGCUUUCUCUUUCCACAGCAAAAUGAGUGAAUCUGGAACUUUAUCAUCCUACUCUUUACUGUCCAAGAGAUGACAAACCUUUGAAAGGCAAAGAUCUCUAUUAAUUUUUAAUGCUGUCUCUGAAACAUCCACCUAGUCCAUCCGUUCUCUUUAUUUCUGGUAUGUCUUUAGUGAUGGAACACAAAGUGUCUUGAAGCCCUGCUUCAAUUCUGUGUCACUUUUGCCAUCAGUUCCAGGCUUUAUGACAUGGUUCCUACAAUGGGAAGCAGACUCACAGACUGACACUAUGAGGUGAAAUUACUUAAUUGAUCCCCUUACUCUAAAUACUGAUCUCAAUUUCUUAAAAUGAAGCGUGAACAAAUUGUACAGUACACAGCUGAAUAACAAAGCCUGUGGAUUCCUGUGGAUUUGUCUUUCUGGAUCUUUUGUGUUGUCACAUAACCUAUUCACUUGCACACCUUGUGUCAUGUUGUAAACCUUGUUCUUUCUGGAAGAAAUUGAGCUAAACAUUCCAAAAGGAAUCCAUAUGAGCUGAGAUAUAGCUUUGUUAGCUGCAAGCAGUAUCAUUGUGAUUUUUUUUUACCUGAUGUGUCAGCAUUCCUCAGAUCUGUAUUCUCAGGGACACGGACCUUGAAAAGGAGUUCUGCACCAGAAAUAAAACAUAUGCUGCUGCAUCCCUUGUGAACUCCUCAUUACUGACCAGACCUUCUAUUCCAGCAAUUCCUUCAGUCCCGUUUCCUGUCUGGGACUUGCUCUGAUAAUGUUGAUGUUUUGCAGAAAUGCCUGGUAUAGUCCCAACAGGAGCACUCAGACACUUUUUGCACCAUUCACACUCUUCUCACUGGGAGCACUUAAGGUUCUAAGCAGGUUUUUCAUAGCAUGCCCUUCAAUUUUAAGUCUGCAAAACACUGAUUGCAUACUGUUUAAUACAGAAUGUUAAUAUUCUAACCUUUGAGGGGUUUCAAGAAAAAAAAAAGUGGAUAUUUAUUACUUUAUAAAAUUUCUAAGAAUGUGCUAUGAUGGUCUGGAUACUUUGCCCAAAGAGUAACCUGAUUAAUGUAAUGCAGUUACCACAAACUAAAACAAGACUCAACAAGUGAAGGAGUAUCAUGGAACAGAGAAGACUCUCUAGGUGAGAUUUCAUAGUUGCGUUAGAUUUUAUAGCUUGGAUGUUUUCCUUCUUAACUGCAAUUAAGAAGACAUUUUCUCUGCAUCUGGACAAUCAUAUAAUUUCCGCUGCAGGAUUCUAGUGCCUCUGAAGCGUACUUUGCAGUGCCGUAUUGAUCUAAUGGUCUAGGCUGGCUCAGCAAUUCCUUAAGAUCCUCUCAGAAGUCACCUCUAUUCAAUAGAAAACUUUUUGCCCAACUGUUUUUGUUAGGUUAUAUUGUUGUUCGUUUCAUGCCACCCCAUCUGCUUAUUUUCUUUUCAGCUAAAUUAAUUUCAGCUAACUUUUCUCAUGCCUUUUAAUCUAGGGAUUCAAAGGAAACAAACAUCUGAUAGAGGAUAUUUUAUGGCCUGUGUUGUUCAAGCUCUUGAAUUGUUAGUCUGUUGUCAAUGUUUUUCUUGGCACAGCCUGGCCUCCUGCAGUACAGUGGUAGCUGAGAGCAAUACAGUGGUAAAGUCACCAGUAGUCAGAUGUGAGCCAGGCUUUGUUUUCAUCUGGAGAGCAAUCAGCAUUGCAAUUAGUAUCCAAAAUCUUUCUAGGACUCAUGCUUAAUCAUUUAGCUUUGUGUUGUGGGGUUUUUUUUGUUUGUUUGUUUGUUUGUUUUCUGUUGCUGUUAUUGUUGCAUUUUGUUCAUGAACAAAUUAUUUAGGGGUGAUGGAUCUGAGUGAUCUUUUAAGAUCCCUUCUAACCCAAGCCAUGCUAUGAUGCUAGACCUCCAAAUGUGAGUUGGCUUGUGAAACACAAGUUUGAAGCUCAAGGAGGGGAGGUUUAGAUUGGAUGUCAGAGUGAAGUUCUUCACAGAGAGAGUGGUGAGGUUCUGGAACAGGCUACCCAGAGAGGUUGUGAAUGCUCCAUCCCUGAACAUGUUCAAGACCAGGGCCCUAGGCAAGCUGAUCUGGUAUCAGAUCCAGAGGUUGGUAGCCCUGCUGUAGUGAGGCGAUUGGUCCCUUCCAACCCAAGCAAUUCUAUGAUUCUGUGAAGGCUGUGUCCAAUGGAGUGGUAUUGAACUAUGCCCAGGGGCUAAACAGGCCAGUGCAGAGUGCUGAUGGGGGCACUCUAUUUUCAGGUAAAAUUAGGAGUGCUCAGCUUCAUCUCCUCUUUGCUCCAUUUGGGUCUGAGUAGUCCGAUCCUUGACAAUGCUUGGCCAAGGCAGGAGUCUUCCACACAACAAAACAGUUACCACAGUUGGCUCAUGCGCCUGAGAAGGAUCUUCAGCUGCCGUCCAUCCCAGCCAUUGACCAGGUUGCCCCAAAUAAUGCAGGGAAUCUGUACUCUCCCCUUCCAUGUAAACAUAGAAUGUUUGUCACUUAGGAACUAUUUCAUGUGCUCCAUGUUAUGAAAAAUAAGAAGUUACAACUUGGGGCAUCAGUAUAUUUAGUUUGACAUUCGUUUCUAGAAUUGCACAAAAGUGCACCAAAUUUAAAUCAGGAUGCUACUUCUGGCUAGUUUCAAUGGAAAUCAACUGGAUGUUGGCCUCUAAACCAUUGGGAUUUUCUGACUGUGACAGAGGUGAAGGUGAUCUUGUUCCCUUCUGUCCAGUCUUUGUGGAUGUUCCCAUCCCUGCCAAGUGGGAUCCCUUGGCCACUUGGCAGGGAUAGCACUUGGAUAUUUUUAAAUUAGAAAUAGGCAAGUGGGUGCAGAUAGGUCCUCCAUUCUCUCAGUGAAAUGUUUUGGGCACUCCAGCUUGAACCGCAGCAUUUCCUAGUGGCUGUGUGACUUUAUUCUGUAUUAAAGAUAAUCUGGCUCUGUAAAAUGACAGUAAUUCACUAUGUCACUUGCUAUAAUUGAGGGAAAUAUCUACAGCUGACUGAAAAAAUUAGAUGUGUCUUUUAUUUUCUGUGAGUGCAUUAUAUGCUGGCUUUAGAAAGAAAUAAAAAGUAGUAUGAAAUGAUGAUCUGUUUGUGCUCCAACCAGUGAAAGCUGCGAAGAGAAAGAGCAAAAUAUGUGUUGAAACAACCACGGGAUGUCAGCCUCCUUCAGUCUUUUCAGCACUUCCUUUUAGUCAGGAGUAUUGUGGAACACAUCUGUAUGCCUUUCCACAAACAGUUAGCUGUCAUUCACCAAGUAUUUAUAAGAGUUAUGGACAGACUGAUUUAGCUGUGAGUGUUUUGCAGUGAUUAGUGAAUCCUGAAUUAGUGCUUUGGACAAAUCCAUAUACAGUAUGUGUGUAAAUGAGAAGCGAGUGAGGAAUGUACAUUCUUGUGAUAGAAAGUCUCUUUGAAGAAUCCAGAGUAAAAUAUCCCUACAGCUGAAGCAUCCUCUGCUCUCUUCAGCUCACUUUGGCUCUGCCCCUGUUCAGGAUCG